rnacentral:misc_RNA from 1 species
UAAUAUAGAAAUUCAUGCAUAUCUGGGGUUCAAUUUUACAAAAAAAUUUGAACUCCCAUGUGCAUCGGACAAUUUUGCUUAGACCUUGCUAUGCAGAAAAUGAAACUAGUUAAAAUUUGCAUAUCUUUCUAAUCAAAGUUAACUUCAGUCUAGGAGCCUACUUGAAUCUCACUUAAAGCAGCUUCAUCCAUCUGAUCUUGUCUAAGAGUGAAAGGGAAUGGAGGCCUAUCUACAGAAAGUGUACCUUCUAAUACCUUAACCACUUCAACAAUAGUAGGUCGCAGAAAUGGUUGAUUUUGCAUGCACCACAAGGCAAUCCUCAUUACUCUUGAUAUUCCUUCAGAAUCCGUGCAAUCCUCCAAGUUCAGUUUUUCAUCCAUACUGUCAGUUAAAUGUUGCAGACUGUUACUCAAAAUAUCUCUUCUAUGUGUCACAAUUUGCAACAGCAUCUCCCCAAACAUGUAGAUAUCUCUCUCUGCCGGCGACUCCGAGGAGGAAGCUGCCUCCUUUUGGAGUAAGCUUCUAAGUCCAAAAUCAGUGAGCUUAGGGGCCAACUUCUCAUCAAGCAAGACAUUUUCGAGCUUCAAGUUCCCAUGAGCUACACAUACCUGACACUCUGAGUGCAAAUAAGCAAGGGCUCUUGCAACUCCAACAGCAAUGUCAAACCUCUGUUGCCAAUUCCCAUCAUUCUGGCCUUGCUCCAUGUUGAAGAGCCAAUUAUCUAGAGAGCCAUUGUGAACAUAGUUGUAUAAUAAGAACCUGUGAUUUGCCUCAAAACAGAAACCCUUUAAUGACACAAGAUUCCGGUGGUGCAUUCCCCCUAAGUUAGAGACUGCCACUCGGAAAUCCUUCUCAUUUGCAGUUGCAUCAUUCAGCUUCUUAGCAAUAACUGGCCUUUUGUUGGGAAGUACACCCUUA